AAGCCGUCCCUGACGGGCACUGAAUCCACAAUCUGAUGUGGGUGGAGUGACGUUGAAACAGGUUAUUUGACUCAUUUCUUCAAUCUUGACUACCGUUCUAGAAUCUAGAAGAGAGUGUAGACAAAUUGAUCAGACUAACAUGAGAGACAGCUUAAACCCAGCCUAAUCCUACUGAGAGCACACUACUGGAUUACCCCAAACAUGGGAGACUGGACCACCAUUGGAAUCUCGAUCCCAUGCCAGGUGCGUUCCAUUGAAUAAAACGCCCAGCAACUGUAAACAUCGAUCGACUAGCAAUUGACAUGAUACAAUCUACUACUAUGCUGGUGCCUCUGAAGGUCCAGUUCCAGUGAUCCCUAGGGAGCUCUGAUCUUCAAGAAUAUCACUCAGCUUCUCUCUUCAUCUUCUCCAGUUUUUAGAUCAAUAAUGUGGAAGCUUAAGAUUGCUGAAGGAGGAAGUCCAUGGCUUCGUACUCUGAACAACCAUGUUGGAAGGCAAGUUUGGGAGUUUGAUCCUGAGAGUAGAACACCAGAACAUCUUAUGGAAGUUGAGAAGGCUCGUGAUCAUUUCACAAAGCUUAGGUUUGAGAAGAAGCAUAGCUCAGAUCUACUCAUGCGACUCCAGGUACUGUAAAAAAGAAAUUA